GACGAACGCUGGCGGCGUGCCUAAUACAUGCAAGUCGAGCGGAUGGAGGGGAGCUUGCUCUCCGAAGUCAGCGGCGGACGGGUGAGUAACACGUGGGCAAUCUGCCUGUCAGACCGGAAUAACGCUUGGAAACGGGUGCUAAUGCCGGAUAGGCAAUUUGGAGGCAUCUUCGGAUUGGGAAAGGCGCUUAGGCGUUGCUGACAGAGGAGCCCGCGGCGCAUUAGCUAGUUGGUGGGGUAACGGCUCACCAAGGCGACGAUGCGUAGCCGACCUGAGAGGGUGACCGGCCACACUGGGACUGAGACACGGCCCAGACUCCUGCGGGAGGCAGCAGUAGGGAAUCUUCGGCAAUGGGCGAAAGCCUGACCGAGCAACGCCGCGUGAGCGAAGAAGGCCUUCGGGUUGUAAAGCUCAGUCACCCGGGAAGAGCGGGCAGGAGAGGGAAUGCUUCUGCCGAGACGGUACCGGGAGAGGAAGCCCCGGCUAACUACGUGCCAGCAGCCGCGGUAAUACGUAGGGGGCGAGCGUUGUCCGGAAUCACUGGGCGUAAAGCGUGCGCAGGCGGUUUGUUAAGUCCGGAGUGAAAGUCCAGGGCUCAACCCUGGGAUGGCUUUGGAAACUGGCAGACUUGAGUGCUGGAGAGGCAAGGGGAAUUCCACGUGUAGCGGUGAAAUGCGUAGAUAUGUGGAGGAAUACCAGUGGCGAAGGCGCCUUGCUGGACAGUGACUGACGCUGAGGCACGAAAGCGUGGGGAGCAAACAGGAUUAGAUACCCUGGUAGUCCACGCCGUAAACGAUGAGUGCUAGGUGUUGGGGGGUACCACCCUCAGUGCCGAAGGAAACCCAAUAAGCACUCCGCCUGGGGAGUACGGUCGCAAGACUGA
rnacentral:rRNA from 1 species